rnacentral:rRNA from 1 species
UACGUAGGGUGCGAGCGUUGUCCGGAAUUACUGGGCGUAAAGAGCUCGUAGGUGGUUUGUCGCGUUGUUCGUGAAAACUCACAACUCAAUUGUGGGCGUGCGGGCGAUACGGGCAGACUGGAGUACUGCAGGGGAGACUGGAAUUCCUGGUGUAGCGGUGAAAUGCGCAGAUAUCAGGAGGAACACCGGUGGCGAAGGCGGGAUCUCUGGGCCUUACCUGACGCUGAGGCGCGAAAGCUAGGGGAGCAAACAGG